rnacentral:rRNA from 1 species
AAUGCAAGUCGAGCGAGAUCUUCGGAUCUAGCGGCGGACGGGUGAGUAACGCGUGGGAACGUACCCUCUUCUGCGGGAUAGCCACUGGAAACGGUGAGUAAUACCGCAUACGCCCUUCGGGGGAAAGAUUUAUCGGAGGAGGAUCGGCCCGCGUUGGAUUAGGUAGUUGGUGGGGUAAUGGCCUACCAAGCCUACGAUCCAUAGCUGGUUUUAGAGGAUGAUCAGCCACACUGGGACUGAGACACGGCCCAGACUCCUACGGGAGGCAGCAGUGGGGAAUCUUAGACAAUGGGCGCAAGCCUGAUCUAGCCAUGCCGCGUGAGUGACGAAGGCCUUAGGGUCGUAAAGCUCUUUCGCCUGUGAUGAUAAUGACAGUAGCAGGUAAAGAAACCCCGGCUAACUCCGUGCCAGCAGCCGCGGUAAUACGGAGGGGGUUAGCGUUGUUCGGAAUUACUGGGCGUAAAGCGCACGUAGGCGGAUUGGAAAGUAUGGGGUGAAAUCCCAGGGCUCAACCCUGGAACGGCCUCAUAAACUUCCAGUCUGGAGUUCGAGAGAGGUGAGUGGAAUUCCGAGUGUAGAGGUGAAAUUCGUAGAUAUUCGGAGGAACACCAGUGGCGAAGGCGGCUCACUGGCUCGAUACUGACGCUGAGGUGCGAAAGUGUGGGGAGCAAACAGGAUUAGAUACCCUGGUAGUCCACACCGUAA